rnacentral:lncRNA from 1 species
CAUCUGUUUGGGUUUAUAGCUUAAUGUUGUUAUGUAUUUAAUGAAUAAUAGUGUAAAUAUGCUUUUAGGCUUUCAUAGGUAUAAGCAAAUGAAAAAAAAGGCUAUGAUUCACUUUACAACAGUGAUCUGAAAUGUAAAAGCUACAAUAAUGAAAUAUGUCUGUACAAAUAUUUUACCUUGGCUCUAAUCAAAUAUGAGAUUUAUGGAGAGACUCAUGAUUGAACUUAACAGAAAUCUUAAACUCUUGCCUGACUGUGUAAGGUCUAUUUAUAGUCAACAAUACUUCUUGAUUAUACAAAUAAUUUACAUGAUAGUUGUAGGAUCUUAAUUAUCUAUGCUACCAUCAUAUGAGCGGCGCCUUAUGAGAGAGGGAGAAGGCGAUGUGAUGACGCCUUAUGAGAGAGGAAAGGUGGAGGGGCUGCGCCUUAUGAGAGGAGGAGAGAGAGAAGGCGAUGUUGGGAUGCCUUAUGAGAGAGGAGGAUAUGAAAAAUAUUUUUGAAAUAGGAUUAGAUAUGAAAAAAUCCAAAGGUACUAUUAUAGGAGCUAUUAAGACAAAUUCUGUUUCUAUUUUUGAAAUCCUUCUAUUGUAUUUCCUCCCAUUCAUUUUGCAUGUUGAGGUUAUGCACAAGAAUUAUUUUAGGCUCCAUCAUAAUAAGAGAGAAUUUCUUAGUCCCAUGGAGUAGAGCAUUUGAAUGGGAUAAGAUAUAGUCAUAAAUUAACAACUUACUGUUGCUUCUAGGAAUGUGACUGCAAAGACCUUGUGUUGACAUUUAAAUGUUUACCCAGUGUUACAACUCGUUGCAUAAAUACGAUUCUGU